GCAGCUGGGGAUCUCUGCACAGAAGCCAUCCCUGAGAGACCCCUAUGACUGGAACUGCAAAAGGUGAUGGCAAAAGGUUUGGCACUGCACUGGCUGUAAUGCUUCUGGGGAGGUGCUGGAGAGAAGCCCUUGGCCACGGAGGAGUGAUACGAAUCAGAAGGACUGCCAUCCACAAUUAUCAAGACAACUGGCUACUUUCUUCAAGGUUAGGAGCUGGACCAGAUGAAUGUAUUAGGUGGCUGAAAUCCCUGAAACUGUGACAAAGUGUUCAAGUUAUUACAAGCUUUGGUGGCUAGCUUCUUUGGCUAAUGGAUUACACAAUGAACUGCCUGACUCUGUUAUGUGUCUGUGAAUACUGUUUCCCUGGACUGCAACACCAGUCCAAUUCUUUGCUCUGCUGGAAGU